GACGAACGCUGGCGGCGUGCUUAACACAUGCAAGUCGAACGGAAAGGCCCUGCCUUUGUGGGGUGCUCGAGUGGCGAACGGGUGAGUAACACGUGAGUAACCUGCCCUUGACUUUGGGAUAACUUCAGGAAACUGGGGCUAAUACCGGAUAGGAGCUCCUGCUGCAUGGUGGGGGUUGGAAAGUUUCGGCGGUUGGGGAUGGACUCGCGGCUUAUCAGCUUGUUGGUGGGGUAGUGGCUUACCAAGGCUUUGACGGGUAGCCGGCCUGAGAGGGUGACCGGCCACGUUGGGACUGAGAUACGGCCCAGACUCCUACGGGAGGCAGCAGUGGGGAAUAUUGCACAAUGGGCGGAAGCCUGAUGCAGCAACGCCGCGUGCGGGAUGACGGCCUUCGGGUUGUAAACCGCUUUCGCCUGUGACGAAGCGUGAGUGACGGUAAUGGGUAAAGAAGCACCGGCUAACUACGUG
rnacentral:rRNA from 1 species